AAUAUACUCUCUCAAUCCAAAAUUAUUGUCUUAGAUUUGUCUAGAUACGGAUGUAUCUAACAUUAAGACGUAACUAGAUACAUCCGUAUUUAGACAAAUCUAAGACAAGAAUUUUGGGACGGAGGGAGUAUUAA
rfam:Triticum aestivum genome assembly, contig: Triticum_aestivum_CS42_TGACv1_scaffold_641414_T_6DL-0.177559_2DS-0.139103